UAGUUUUCAGGUCUCAAAAGCCAGAAAGGCU
rnacentral:piRNA from 1 species